UGUUUCUGUGAUUAUCUAAAAUUAUACUUUGUCCAUAAGCACAAUAUUUCGUUGAGACUGGUAGUCUCAGGACUUUUUUCUUCCUUUUGUUCUUCAGAAAGAGUUAAUUUUCAGUCAGUGUUCACAAUAGAGGACAUAUCCUCUGAAUAAGCCUAUUUAUCUUUCAUGUACUUCACAGCUUCUGCUUCUUUUUUAUCUUUCUUGAAGGAUACCAGUUUUUUUCAAUAUCUGUUUGUCACUGGAACUGGAGAAAAUUUACAUUGACAAGAUCUCUAAUAUUCCACUGAUUAAUCUAUGUCAGACCUAUGUUGAUUAGUUGCUUUCACAAUGAAGAACAGGAGACAUUCCUGAACUCAUGAAUUUUCUGAGGAUAUCCCGAAUGGACUGCAAAAAGAAGUUAAGACGUCUUUUACAAGAAUGAAGUCCUCAAAACAUUUGAAAUGACAGGAGCGGUACAUUUUCCUUGGGCAGUCUUUCACUGAAGGUUAUGGGCAUUCCAGAGGUUGUAUAGAACCGAGCAGAGGAACUCACAACUGUCUUUGGAAGUGGAGAAGCAUGGUCCCCUUCUAGGACCAUGGAGGUGGCAGUGUUCAAACCAAACA